GACGAACGCUGGCGGCGUGCUUAACACAUGCAAGUCGAACGAUGAACCCGGAGCUUGCUCUGGGGGAUUAGUGGCGAACGGGUGAGUAACACGUGAGUAACCUGCCCUGGACUCUGGGAUAAGCGUUGGAAACGACGUCUAAUACCGGAUAGGACCUUGGAUCGCAUGAUCUGGGGUGGAAAGUUUUUUCGGUCUGGGAUGGACUCGCGGCCUAUCAGCUUGUUGGUGAGGUAAUGGCUCGCCAAGGCGUCGACGGGUAGCCGGCCUGAGAGGGUGACCGGCCACACUGGGACUGAGACACGGCCCAGACUCCUACGGGAGGCAGCAGUGGGGAAUAUUGCACAAUGGGCGAAAGCCUGAUGCAGCAACGCCGCGUGCGGGAUGACGGCCUUCGGGUUGUAAACCGCCUUUAGUAGGGAAGAAGGGCUUCGGCUUGACGGUACCUGCAGAAAAAGGACCGGCUAACUACGUG
rnacentral:rRNA from 1 species